UACGUAGGGUGCAAGCGUUGUCCGGAAUUAUUGGGCGUAAAGAGCUCGUAGGCGGUUUGUCGCGUCUGCUGUGAAAACUCAGGGCUUAACCCUGAGCCUGCAGUGGGUACGGGCAGACUAGAGUGUGGUAGGGGAGAUCGGAAUUCCUGGUGUAGCGGUGGAAUGCGCAGAUAUCAGGAGGAACACCGGUGGCGAAGGCGGAUCUCUGGGCCAUAACUGGCGCUGAGGAGCGAAAGCAUGGGGAGCGAACAGG
rnacentral:rRNA from 1 species